UACGUAGGCAGCAAGCGUUGUUCGGAAUUACUGGGCGUAAAGAGUGUGUAGGCGGUGCUCUAAGUUCGGUGUGAAAUCUCCUGGCUCAACUGGGAGGGUGCGCCGGAAACUGGGGUGCUGGAGCGCGGGAGAGGAAAGCGGAAUUCCUGGUGUAGCGGUGAAAUGCGUAGAUAUCAGGAGGAACACCGGCGGUGUAGACGGCUUUCUGGACCGUAGCUGACACUGAGGCGCGAAGGCUAGGGGAGCGAACAGG
rnacentral:rRNA from 1 species